GCAAACUUGGUCAUUUAGAGGAAGUAAAAGUCGUAACAAGGUCUCCGUUGGUGAACCAGCGGAGGGAUCAUUACCGAGUUCUUACACUCCCAAACCAUUGUGAACCUUACCAGUCGUUGCUUCGGCGGUCAGCGCCCCGGCGAGGACCUCCCCCCUCGGGGGUUGGACACCAGCCGGAUCAGUUGCGCCCGCCGGGGGCCCGAAACUCUUUGUUUUUACCAGUUGUAUCUUCUGAGUGAUAUUCAAAAAUGAAUUAAAACUUUCAACAACGGAUCUCUUGGUUCUGGCAUCGAUGAAGAACGCAGC
rnacentral:misc_RNA from 1 species